GAGAUCUGGAGAAGUGCUUCUUCUUCUUCUUCUUCUAUCAGAAUUCCGCAU
rnacentral:sRNA from 1 species